AUUGAACGCUGGCGGCAGGCCUAACACAUGCAAGUCGAGCGGACGAAGGGAGCUUGCUCCUGGAUUCAGCGGCGGACGGGUGAGUAAUGCCUAGGAAUCUGCCUGGUAGUGGGGGAUAACGUCCGGAAACGGGCGCUAAUACCGCAUACGUCCUGAGGGAGAAAGUGGGGGAUCUUCGGACCACGCGCUAUCAGAUGAGCCUAGGUCGGAUUAGCUAGUUGGUGGGGUAAAGGCCUACCAAGGCGACGAUCCGUAACUGGUCUGAGAGGAUGAUCAGCCACACUGGAACUGAGACACGGUCCAGACUCCUACGGGAGGCAGCAGUGGGGAAUCUUGGACAAUGGGCGAAAGCCUGAUCCAGCCAUGCCGCGUGUGUGAAGAAGGUCUUCGGAUCGUAAAGCACUUUAAGUUGGGAGGAAGGGCAGUAAGUUAAUACCUUGCUGUUUUGACGUUACCAACAGAAUAAGCACCGGCUAACUUCGUG
rnacentral:rRNA from 1 species